GAGGGAGGGAGGAAGGAAGGAAGGAAGGAGAAAAGAAGGAAAGAAAGAAAGAAAGAAGGAAGGAAGGAAGGAAGGAAGGAAGGAAAAAAGAAGGAAAGAAAGAAAGAAAGAAGAAAGAAAGGGAGAAGAAAGAAAGGAAAGAAAGAAAACGAGAACAUCUCCUUGGGCCACACACACUGAGACCUCUGUUGUCCUGAUCCCAGCCCAAGUCCCUCAGCCUCUACAGCCAACACCAUUUCCCUGAUGAGCUCUUGUACAUAGCCAAGGAGGGAGGCAUCUAUGACCUGAAUACAUGAAUCCAUGCACAGCAUCUGCCACUUUCUUUCAGCUAGAAAAAAAAAACCGAGCCACUCCCAUGUCGCCAGAUUCUGUACUGAAUCCCCUUAGGAAUCGCUACCUCCCGUUCUGGCAUCAGCAGAGGUCAGCCUGCAGCUGGUCUGGGCUUCUGGUCGCAAGUGCCUGUUUGUAUGUGGCGUGUGCCAUGCACGCUUUUGAACCUAUAGUCUGUAACACCGUGGUAGUCACGGUGUGCCAUUCCUGGUUGUGGCCUUGAUGCCGUUGUCCUCCCUUGGAGUCUGGGCUGUGUGCAUCCUUCGCAGGUGGAUUUUGGAGCUGUGGGUAUUCCUAGCUUCUGGUCUCAUUAAGUCAUUGGGUGUGAAAGUGAAACUCGCUGGCUCCCCCGCCUGCUGGUCUAGCACAGGUUGAGGCCAUUCGGGGCAGCAGCUUAAACUGCUGUGUGAACUAAAACCUCUCAACUAAAGCCUCCGGGGCCUCCCGUUUCUUUGCUGGCCGAAUGGACCCAAUUACACAGAUAGUGCUUUCUUUACAGGGAUUGGGAAGUUUCUUCUUUGCCAGAUUAAAGAAAUUCCGUGGGGGAGCAGUGGGAAAUUUUAGAUCAGGAUGUUUUUCUUUGUAGAAUGGGAUUAUAGGGAAUUCUGAUUUUUUUCUUUUAGUCUAUGUUUUUUAAAUUCAGUAAUAAGCACCCUACAUUCAUUUACUACAUAAUUGUGUACUAUGAUUUUACUGAUAUUAUUUCCUUAGAACUCAGGAGAGACAAGUUAUUAUAGAGACAUGGGGGUGGGUUUUUAAUUCCUUUGGAUUUUUAAUUCCUGUUAGAAAUCUCGUCCCUCUGGCCAUGGUGAGGCUGGCCUGUCAUUCCCUAGCCCUGGGAUGCUGAAGCAGGAGGAAAGGUUAUCCUCUGUUAGAAAACAGAAACCUUAGCCAGGCAAUGGUAGCACAGGACUUUAAUCCCAGCAUUCGAGGCAGAGGCAGGCACAUCUCUGUGAGUUCGAGGCCAGCCUGGUCUACAGAGUGAGUUCCAGGACAGCCAGGGCUACACAGAGAAACCCUGUCUCAAAAACAAAACAAAAAACUAGAAACCUUUAAAAAAACAAAACGAAAAACUAGAAGCGUUUUCCCCUGCUGCUUCUCUCCCCACAAUUUGUUCCCCAAGAUGGAUUCCAAGAAAGGAACGAGAAUAAAUGCUGAAAGCCCAUGUUCGAAACAUAAUGUGUUGGUAAUUAAACUAGGUCGCUGGCUCAUCAUGCAAUGAAAGUCUUUCACAUUGUUCAAACCUUGCCCAAGAAAGAUUAACCUAGCAUGAGAAGGCCUGGCCGGGUCUUCAGACAUCUUUCUCUGGCUAUCUGACUAGUGUCCUCGAAGGUUCGAAGUUCAGGUUUUCUGGUUCUUCUGGGAAAGACCCAGCCAGAGAUAUUGUUAAUGCUGGCACAUUCUGCUUCAUCCUACCCUGGCCACUCCUCUCCUUGGAGCAGCAGGUCAGAUGUCAGCUUUGCUUGGUACUUUAAGGCCAUAAUAAUUUUGUGUCUGUGCGUGGGAAGAGGGUCACAACUGUCCAGAUACAUCUAAGGGAGCCCCCCUCCUCCCUUUCCAGUGUCCCCAGCUGCAGGCCCAGGAGAUGGAUGCUUCUGGCUUUUGAGAUUACUGAAUCAGACCCGUACAGUGGCAUUUGCCCGUGACAGACCUGGCUUUUCGAGGAGGGUUUAGGGUGGUUGAUGGCCCCCUGAAACGAGGCUUUGGUGGGAGUUGCCUUGGGCCCCAUCUUACGGGCAGCAUAGUUUAAGAGCAAAGGACACCACUGUGAGGAGAGAGGUUUCUCAAUUACUCUGUGUCAACUCGUCGUUUUCAGCUGCCCUGCCUAGGACUGGGCAGUUCCUUCACGGUGGUAAGACAGAGUGCCCUUCUUGCUAACUAUGUGGAGAGAAAAAGGAGAGAAAGAAAGAAAGGUUUUGCUAAGCAAAUGAAAGAUGUGGAGGAGAUUAAGGCGAGAAUAUUUAAAUCACAGAAGUGCGUGCUUUUCAAGCAUGCUCAAGCAGUUCUUGAGGUACCCAUUUAGGGGCUGCUGAUUGAUAAGAGGCCAUGAAUUAUUCUUAUCUCCUAGUCCCUGGCUCUCUGGAGGGCAACACUUGGUUAACCUAAUUUGAAUCUAAUUUAAAUGACUUAAGAGUAAUAACACAAGUAUGUGCUUGAAUCUAAUAAAGCCUAAUUUAUUAAAUAGGAUGAUUUAAAAAGGAUUGUAUAUUACAGCCAGACAGGGACUUUUGAAAUCAUCCUUUAUUUAAUAAAUAAAGAAACCAAGUCCUAGAACAAUAAAAUGUUUUGCCAAAGGCCAGCAGACAGUUAGCAGCCACACACAAUGGGAACUUGAACUCUGUACCCCAAAUAUGGAAAAGGGGGGCUUUUGCCCACUCUCCGGGAGCCUUGCUUCCCACCGGAGCAGACUUAGUCCCUUACCAAGUUACAGGGAGUGAAUGCAGAAUGAGGAUGAGUUCUCCAUGGGGACAUCUACAAGGUGGCUUGCUGGCCCAUGCUCUAUCCUCCACAGACCCAGCAGGCCCUCUGUGGGGCUGAUGUAUCAUGGGGACUUGAGGUUUUUAGGCAUCCCAGUGGGGCUGAACCCCUUAAGACAACCCUGGAACUGAGCCCACGUUCAGGCAGUCCUCGAGAGACAAGCCUUAGACUGGGAAGCCAGGAGAGCGUCUGGGGAGGCGUUGAGAGGACUUCUUAAAUCCUAAAUCCAUUAGAUGAGGAAACAGAAGCUCGGAGGGCUUGAUGGUCAGGCCCGAGCCCUGCAGAAACCUGACAUUGUGGCUCAAGAACUCAGCCAUCCACAGGUCUCCAUAAAGAGGGACUGGGGGAGAAAGACUGGACAUCUUCUUGGGGAUAACCCUGGCCACUGGCAAGCCCCAAGAGUCACUGGCCUGGACUCCAGCAGUAGAUGGUAGAUGCCUUCCCAAAUGUCCUCCAGAGUCUGGUAUCUGGCUUUCAAAAUCCUAGGUGCUUUAUGGGUGGGUGGGGACUCGUGUUAAGUGAAAACUGGGGCUUGUUGCCUGUGGAGCCAGCUUUGGGCAAUACCUCCAGGGAGACCAAGAAACUCGGGCUUUCCUGUCAUCCUGCAGCUGGGGUUAGAGCAUCACCUGGCUGCUCGGUCGUGAAAUUCAUGACCCUUUGAAGUCUGUGAAAUUUGAUAAGCGGGCAUCAUACCGAGGAUCAGGGUCAAACGUGAGGCUGAGCUGAUUUCUGUUCUCUGCACACAACUGAUUUGGAGCUGCCUGGUCAUUGAGUGAUUAUAGUGCAUGUGUGUGUAUAUGUGUGUGUGCACAUGUGUGUGCGUGUGUGUAGAUCUGUGUGACUGUAUAUGUGUGCAUAUAUGUACAUGUGUGUGCAUGUAUAUAUGUGUGUGCAUGUGUAUAGAUCUUUGUGAGUGUAUAUGUGUGCAUAUGUGUACACGUGUGUGUAUGUGUGUAUAUGUGUGUGCAUGUGUAUGUAUGUGUAUAUGUUUGCAUUUGUGUGUGUGUGUGUGUGUGUGUGUGUGUGUGUUGGGGCUUGAUUAAACAUAGUAGGAUUGUCUUGAAAGGGCGGUGACAUUGUCUUGGCUGAAAGCAGCAAGGUUAUAUCAGAGGUCAAAAACCAAGCAUUUGCCAUCAUUUGGUACCCCCUUGAGCCGAUCGAACAUGUCAGUCACUCACAGUGGUUCCCUGAAAGCAGCCCUUCCUUACGCCUCCUACAGGCUGGCUGGCACCUACAAUUGUGGAUGUUUCACUAACGACGGUUACCAUGACGUCGAAGUUUGUUGUCACUUUACUAUUUCUAAAACGCUUUCCUUUAGGCUUUGAAGGUUCACAGCAACUACUUAAGAAGCCAGGACACGGAUCCAGAAAGGGGAAAAUAUCCCAGCAGUGCUCCGGUGAGCACUGAACGUGAACUAGAGUCAGAGGUAGACCCAGCACGGACAGUAACAUUGAGAAGGACGCGGCCUGUUUCAUUAAAUCAAAGCUGACUGCAUAGUGGUGGCAUUUGGAUUAAUUCCAGACCUUCUGAAGGUGUGCUUUCUACAUCGGCUUGUCUUCCAUACAGACAGUACUGAGCUCAUACCCCUGUGUACCCGAACCUGUUCCUGUGAGUUACCUUCUUCCUAAAGUGACAUUUGAGGUCAAAAUGUAUGCCCUCCUCGACAACAGCUAAGUUUGACUUAUGGGAAAUUUACGAAUAUAACACAGAGGUUGUUUGGCAGUAAAGGAGAAUAGAGCUACAGCGUGGAUGAACCGUGACGAGUAGGUGGAGGGAGUCACAAAGCCCACCUGAUCUACGAGUCCAUUGGUGUACAAUGUCCAGAUUAGGCAAAUGUACAAGAACAGAAGGUAGUCUGGUGGCUGCAGGGGGCCUGAGGAAGAUGGGUGUAAGAAGUGGCUGCUUAACGGAGCCCGGUUUCCUCUUGAGGUGAUAAAAAUGUUCUGCAGUUAGAUGUGCAGGCGGUGGUUGCCCAACUCUGAGAGUAUCAUAAAAUCAUUGAAUUGUACAAUUUAAGAGGAUGGGGUUUAUGGCACAUAAAUUAUAUCCCAGUAGAGCUGGAUUCUAAGAGAAAACAGUACAUCGAGUUCUGUGUACCCCUUGCCUAAGUUUCCCUAAUGCUCUCAAUGGGGAAUGACUGGACAAAUUGUACCACAGUUGUACUGUGGAAUAUUAAAAAUGCAGAACAGCA